UACGUGAGGAGCAAGCGUUGUUCGGAUUUACUGGGCGUAAAGGGUGCGUAGGCGGCCUAUUAAGUCAGGGGUGAAAGACGGUAGCUUAACUAUCGCAGUGCCCUUGAUACUGAUGGGCUUGAAUGUACUAGAGGUAGGCGAAUGUGACAAGUAGCGGUGAAAAUGCAUAGAUAUGUCACAGAACACCAAUUGCGAAAGGCAGCUUACUAUGGUAUGAAUUGACG
rnacentral:rRNA from 1 species